rnacentral:lncRNA from 1 species
UUUAAAUCUAUUGUAGGAAUUACUAGGAUUUGGUUUAGUGUUUGGUUAGGAUUUGGUUAGGAUUUGGUUAGGAUUUGGUUUAGGAUUUGGCUUAAGGUUUGAUUUAGGGUUUAAGGUUAAGAGAUUGGAUUAGGAUUUAUUUUAGGAUUAAGGUUCGAUUUGGAUUUGGUUUAGGAUUUAGGGUUUAGGAUUUGAUUUAGGAUUUAGGAUUUGGUUAGGAUUUGGUUUAGGGUUUAGGAUUUAGGAUUUGGAUUAGGGUUUGAUUUAUGGUUUAAGAUUUGAUUAGGGUUUUAUUUAGGAUUUAGGGUUUGGUUCAGGAUUUGAUUUAGGAUUUAAGAUUUAAUUAGGAUUUGGUUUAGGGUUUGGAUUUUGGAUUAGAGUUGGGUUAGGAUUUAAGAUUUGAUUAGGAAUUGAUUUAAGGUUUAGGAUUUGAUUAGGAAUUGAUUUAUGGUUUAGGAUUUGAUUAAGGUUUAAUUAGGAUUUUAUUUAGGAUUUAGGAUUUUUCUAGGAUUUGAUUAAGGUUGAAUUAGGAUUAAGGGUUGGUUAGAAUUUAAGGUUUUAUUAGAUUUUUGUUAGAAUUUGACUAAGUUUUCUUUAAUAUUUUUUUAUAUUUCUUUAGGAUUUCCUUGAGUUUCUUUUAUAACUUCAAUAAAACUUAAUUGAGCUUGCUUAAUGUUUGAUUAUGAUUUUUAACGUUUAAUUGUAAAUUCUCUAUAAUCCUAUUGGACUGUUAGGACCUUUUGUUGCAAUUUUCUUUUAUCUUCGACAGCCAGGUGCUCUGUGCAUUCUCAAGCAAGACUUCACAUAAUACGACAACGUGUCUCUUGUUGAACCAUACAAGAUAGUGGACAUAUCAAAAAGAAGACAAGCUCCACCACCUCCUAUAGAAGUAG